rnacentral:rRNA from 1 species
GAUGAACGCUGGCGGCGUGCCUAAUACAUGCCAGUCGAGCGAACGGACGAGAAGCUUGCUUCUCUGAUGUUAGCGGCGGACGGGUGAGUAACACGUGGAUAACCUACCUAUAAGACUGGGAUAACUUCGGGAAACCGUAGCUAAUACCGGAUAAUAUUUUGAACCGCAUGGUUCAAAAGUGAAAGACGGUCUUGCUGUCACUUAUAGAUGGAUCCGCGCUGCAUUAGCUAGUUGGUAAGGUAACGGCUUACCAAGGCAACGAUGCAUAGCCGACCUGAGAGGGUGAUCGGCCACACUGGAACUGAGACACGGUCCAGACUCCUACGGGAGGCAGCAGUAGGGAAUCUUCCGCAAUGGGCGAAAGCCUGACGGAGCAACGCCGCGUGAGUGAUGAAGGUCAUCGGAUCGUAAAACUCUGUUAUUAGGGAAGAACAUAUGUGUAAGUAACUGUGCACAUCUUGACGGUACCUAAUCAGAAAGCCACGGCUAACUACGUG